AUUGAACGCUGGCGGCAGGCCUAACACAUGCAAGUCGAGCGGAGCGGCAGCCGGGGGAGUAAUGCUUAGGAAUCUGCCUGGUAGUGGGGGAUAACGUUAGGAAACGGGCGCUAAUACUGCAUCCUAUCACAUGAGCCUAGGUUGGAUUAGCUAGUGGGUGGGGUAAAGGCGUACCAAGGCGACGCUCCGUAACUGGUCUGAGAGGAUGAUGAGUCACACUGGAACUGAGACACGGUCCAGACUCCUACGGGAGGCAGCAGUGGGGAAUAUUGGACAAUGGGCGAAAGCCUGAUCCAGCCAUGCCGCGUGUGUGAAGAAGGUCUUCGGAUUGUAAAGCAAUUUAAGUUGGUAGGCGUUACCAACAGAAUAAGCACCGGCUAACUUCGUGCCAGCAGCCGCGGUAAUAC
rnacentral:rRNA from 1 species